rnacentral:rRNA from 1 species
UUAAAUUGAAGAGUUUGAUCAUGGCUCAGAUUGAACGCUGGCGGCAGGCCUAACACAUGCAAGUCGAACGGUAACAGGAAGCAGCUUGCUGCUUUGCUGACGAGUGGCGGACGGGUGAGUAAUGUCUGGGAAACUGCCUGAUGGAGGGGGAUAACUACUGGAAACGGUAGCUAAUACCGCAUAACGUCGCAAGACCAAAGAGGGGGACCUUCGGGCCUCUUGCCAUCGGAUGUGCCCAGAUGGGAUUAGCUAGUAGGUGGGGUAACGGCUCACCUAGGCGACGAUCCCUAGCUGGUCUGAGAGGAUGACCAGCCACACUGGAACUGAGACACGGUCCAGACUCCUACGGGAGGCAGCAGUGGGGAAUAUUGCACAAUGG